rnacentral:rRNA from 1 species
ACGUAGGGUCCGAGCGUUGUCCGGAAUUAUUGGGCGUAAAGAGCUCGUAGGCGGUAUGUCGCGUCUGCUGUGAAAGACCGGGGCUUAACUUCGGUUUUGCAGUGGAUACGGGCAUGCUGGAGGUAGGUAGGGGAGACUGGAAUUCCUGGUGUAGCGGUGAAAUGCGCAGAGAUCGGGAGGAAGGCCGGUGGCGAAGGCGGCGCUCUGGAACAUUUCUGACGCUGAGGCUCGAAAGCGUGGGGAGCAAACAGGA